rnacentral:rRNA from 1 species
ACGCUCGACACCUAGGAGGCAGCAGUGAGGAAUAUUGGUCAAUGGGCGCUAGCCUGAACCAGCCAAGUAGCGUGAAGGAUGAAGGCUCUAUGGGUCGUAAACUUCUUUUAUAUAAGAAUAAAGUGCAGUAUGUAUACUGUUUUGUAUGUAUUAUAUGAAUAAGGAUCGGCUAACUCCGUGCCAGUAGCCGCGGUAAUCUGAGCGGGCUGGCAAGGC